GGCACCAAACACUCAGGUGCACCCACUGCUACUUGGGCCUGAAGGAGAAUCUUCAGCAGGCUCACAGGAGCUGUUCUGUCCUGGCUUUCUUUGCAGUUGAACCUGAUGAUAAAGGCGAUCCAGCUUCUAAACCCAUGUCCAGGAAUGACCUUCUGAGAGAUGCUGAGGGCAUGUCUGCAGGGAGGACUUUUCAGACGCCUUUGCUGGUUACUGCACGCAGGCCUGGCUCCCAUCGCAGGGGUCUUCCAAGGGGAAAGAACAAAGCUACAGGACACAAGGAAUCCCAUGGGCUACCUGAAUACAUGAGGAAAAUGCUGAAGGAAAUGCAGCAGGCAGGAGGACAAGAAGUGGAUGGAGAGGCUGUGCAGAAGGCAGCGUUUCCCGAAGGAAGCAGUGGUUCCGUGCCAGCCUCUGCUGCAGGAAGACAGGCGAUGCCAGGCACAGGCACAGGAGGUUGGGAUCAAGACAUGGAUUAUUUGGAAAACCUGCUGGAUUAUGGCUUGAGACUCAUGGGAAAUCCUGGAGGCAAGUGCUCAAUGUACCUUUCCUG